GACGAACGCUGGCGGCGUGCUUAACACAUGCAAGUCGAACGGUGAAGGGACCGGUUUUUGCUGGUUCUGGAUGAGUGGCGAACGGGUGAGUAACACGUGAGUAACCUGCCCCCUUCUUCUGGAUAACCGCAUGAAAGUGUGGCUAAUACGGGAUAUUCUGCGCCUGCUGCAUGGUGGGUGUGGGAAAGAUAUUGUUUCGGUGGGGGAUGGGCUCGCGGCCUAUCAGCUUGUUGGUGGGGUGAUGGCCUACCAAGGCGGUGACGGGUAGCCGGCCUGAGAGGGUGGACGGUCACACGGGGACUGAGACACGGCCCAGACUCCUACGGGAGGCAGCAGUGGGGAAUAUUGCACAAUGGGCGCAAGCCUGAUGCAGCGACGCCGCGUGAGGGAUGGAGGCCUUCGGGUUGUAAACCUCUUUCGCCAGUGAAGCAGGCCUGUCCCUUUUGUGGGUGGGUUGACGGUAGCUGGAUAAGAAGCGCCGGCUAACUACGUG
rnacentral:rRNA from 1 species